UGGAGUCUGCAACCCGACUCCAUGAAGCUGGAUUCGCUAGUAAUCGCGCAUCAGCCACGGCGCGGUGAAUACGUUCCCGGGCCUUGUACACACCGCCCGUCAAGCCAUGGAAGCCGGGAGUGCCUGAAGUGCGUGAGCGCAAGCAGCGCCCUAAGGUAAAACCGGUGACUGGGGCUAAGUCGUAACAAGGUAAC
rnacentral:rRNA from 1 species